AGAGCCCAUCCCAUGGCAGACGUUCCUGCUGGGAGAGGGGGAAACGUACGGCCCUUUGGAGGACAGACUGACCGCUCAAAAAGAUCCUGUUCACGGGGAGAAACAGGCUGGAGUCGAGAGGAUAAAGGCAGGACUUUUUCCAGCUUCCCGUAGAAGCCCAGAGAGAAGGAUGGAAUGGCCAGUGGAAUAGCCCGUACCACAGACGUGAUGUCUCGGUGGAGAAAUGGGGGUUGGCCGGGGGCAGGAAUCGGUGAUCGCUGCUCGGGACGGUGCCAGUUCACCUGGCGGACAGAGCCACCAGCUGGUAUUUACCUGAAGAGCGUUGAUGUUUACACGGGCUCCCGAUCCGCAGGCACCGUUCCCACCAGAGAAGCUGCACGAGUCUACGGAAAGAGCUCGUUGCCCACCCCGAGGGUAGGUUGGUUUUGCCGUGCCAACAUCUGGUGUGGAUAUGAAUUAAUAACUCCAUCCCUCGGAGCGGCACUGGGGAGAUUCAUUCUAAGUCGUCCCCCCCCACCACCAAUGGAUGUCCCCUCUCCGGCUCCCUUUUUCCACGCCUUCAACCUUCCUUUCUGCGAGCGCACGCUGUAGUUCCCCGCGUCCUACAAAACCCCAUUGCCGGGAGGCCCCAUAAGGGAACGGAUCAGGAAAAAAGUAGAAGUUCCGAGUCCCUUUCCUGACAGCUUUUGCCCAUUCCUGUUAGGAUCACGCUGUAUCACCUCGGUGACAAAAACCACACCUGGAGCCAAGCUGGGCGACUUUUUCUGCAUCUCUCUCACUUCUGUCCAAAACACUC